UGUAUCUUGAUGUUCCUGCAUUACAUUACAAAAUAAAACCUAAGUGUUUCGGUGUCUGUCAAGACCCUGCAAAUGUGGAGUGUUGAAGAUUAUUGGAUAGCAUAGACAUAAAGCAUCUCUAACUCUAAGUGGAUGCAGCUGUGUUCCUUUAACAACCACAACAGAUGGGGUCGCGGGGGGCUGGAGCUUAUCCCAGCUAACAUUGGGCGAAAGGCGGGGGACACCCUGGACAGGUCGCCUGUGUGUUCUGUGUUAUAUUUAAUGUAAUUUAGUUCAUGUUUACUGCAUUAUAUAUUUCACACGUGUUACCCUGAUGGUGUUUUGUGUUUGUGAGUGAAACUGUACACACUCUACAUGUUUA